rnacentral:snRNA from 1 species
AAACUUACCUGGCUGGGGGCGUCUCGCGAUCAUUAAGGCGGGACCCCCAUGGUGAGGCCCGCGCAUUGCACUUUCGCCCGGGCUGACCCGUGUGGCAGUCUCGAACUGAGAUUCGCCAACAGCUAAAUUUUUGUGUGUGGG